rnacentral:tRNA from 1 species
GCCAGUAUAGCUCAAUGGUUAGAGCAAUUGCAUCAUAAGCAAGAGGUUGCGGGUUCGAAUCCUGCUACUGGCA